AAAAUCGAUCUUUAUAAAGCUGACUUGAAGUAUUAAAUUACAGUAUCACUACUAGGGACCUUUGUAAAUAGUUUCUGACCAGAAAACAGCCAAAGCUUCUCUAUCUAUGCUAUAUCGUUUUUGGGCUUCUUUAAGUUUUGCGCUCACAAAUGCGACAUAAUAUGCCAGAGCAACUCUCUUCUUCAACUUCGCUUGCACGAGUUGUAAUAUGAAGGGGCAAGUAGUAAGUACAAACUCCACUCAUAAAUUCCCCUUUACAAGCUGGAAAAAAUCUUGCUUAAGAUAACCUCCUGUUCCCUCACUCAAACUAUUUACCGUUUUUUGACAUACUACUUAAAGGCUCAAUUAUAAUCAAUUCAAUGGGAAAGCAGGCUCUCCAGUAGUUCAAAGAUUUUUCUUGGCAAACCACCUUACAUUACUUUUGACAAAGUUACAUUUUCUACUCAAAAAAUUGGACCAUAUACCUCAUCUUUCUACUAAAGCUAACAAAUCUUUAUAGUGACCCUCUUCAUCUCUACUGCUGGUUAGACAAUCGUUUGCAAACACAAAAGUUUCCCUAUUCCAGAAAUCACUUCGUCCAUACCCUUUUGGUAUUUAAAAAGUGCAUCUACGUAAUAGCAUGGUAUUACAGUCUAUUGGAACCUCCUUCCAUUUGGCAAGUUAACAGCGAAGUAUUUUCGAGAAGUUUUGUGAAAUUCUCGUUGAUAAAUCCCUUUGCAAAGUCAAGAGUAGUAAAAAUUUUAUACCUUCUCGCCUUAAAGUUUAUAAA